rnacentral:rRNA from 1 species
AGAGUUUGAUCAUGGCUCAGGAUGAACGCUAGCGGCAGGCUAAUACAUGCAAGUCGAGGGGUAACACAGGUAGCAAUACUGGGUGACGACCGGCGCACGGGUGCGUAACACGUAUAUAAUCUGCCCUUAUCUGGAGGAUUGCCCGGAGAAAUUCGGAUUAAUACUCCAUAAUAUAUUGAGGAGGCAUCUUUUUAAUAUUAAAGCUCAGGCGGAUAAGGAUGAAUAUGCGACUGAUUAGUUUGUUGGUGAGGUAACGGCUCACCAAGACUACGAUCAGUAGGGGUACUGAGAGGUUAAACCCCCACACUGGUACUGAGACACGGACCAGACUCCUACGGGAGGCAGCAGUAAGGAAUAUUGGACAAUGGAGGCAACUCUGAUCCAGCCAUGCCGCGUGCAGGAAGAAGGCGCUACGCGUUGUAAACUGCUUUUAUAACAGAGAAAAUCAUUGUACGUGUACGAUGUUGAUAGUAUGUUAAGAAUAAGCAUCGGCUAACUUCGUGCCAGCAGCCGCGGUAAUACGAAGGAUGCAAGCGUUAUCCGGAUUUAUUGGGUUUAAAGGGAGCGUAGGCGGUCUUAUAAGUCAGUGGUGAAAUCUCGUUGCUUAACAACGAACGUGCCAUUGAUACUGUAGGACUUGAGUACAGUUGCCGUUGGCGGAAUGUGUCAUGUAGCGGUGAAAUGCAUAGAUAUGACACAGAACACCGAUUGCGAAGGCAGCUGACGAAACUGUAACUGACGCUGAGGCUCGAAAGCGUGGGGAUCAAACAGGAUUAGAUACCCUAGUAGUCC